rnacentral:lncRNA from 1 species
ACCGAGUUCUCCAUUUCAAAGGUCGCUUUACCUGGACGGGCGUGCGUAAGUAGUGAUGCCCCCAUGAGGACUUAAGGUCCUGUCACUCCCGGGGGAUGUUGCCAUUUCCGACUUUCAUGAAAACGAGUUUCAGAAUCAUAUCUUCGGGAGACGGUUGUAGUAGGAGUCUCUACGAGCAUGAUUCGAUCUUUACGAUAAGGUCUUCCAGCAUCCUUGCUGCUACAGGAUAGGUUAUUGGUUCGUCAUUGCCCGAUACCUCGGGUAUUGGCUCGAAAUGCGAAGAUACUUUUGGUGUUGUCGCACUGAGAGUCUCCGGUGGCUUUGCAGUUGAGAGAUAGCCAAAUGUUGUUCCUGCAACAUUUCAAAAAAGUACC